CCUACGGGUGGCAGCAGUAGGGGAUAUUGCACAAUGGGGGAAAGCCUGAUGCAGCGACGCCGCGUGGGUGAAGAAGCGCCUCGGCGCGUAAAGCCCUGUCAGCAGGGAAGAAAAUGAGGGUAACUGAAGAAGAAGCCCCGGCCAACUACGUACCAGAAGCCGCGGUAAUACGUAGGGGGAAAGCGUUAUCCGGAUUUACGGGGUGUAACGGGCGCGGAGACGGCGUUGCAAGCCGGGAGUGAAAGCCCGGGGCCCAACCCCGGGACGGCUCUUGGAACUGCGUGGCUGGAGUGCAGGAGAGGAAGGCGGAAUUCCUGGUGUAGCGGUGAAAUGCGUAGAGAUCAGGAGGAACACCGGUGGCGAAGGCGACCUGCUGGACUGCAACUGACGUUGAGGUGCGAAAGCGUGGGGAGCAAACAGGAUUAGAUACCCCGGUAGUC
rnacentral:rRNA from 1 species